UACAACAUAGUGUUAAUGCACCAUAUCUUAUUAGAACUCCGCAAUUAAGCAUGCUCAUGAUAGAGUAGUACCAGGAUGGGUGACUUCCCAUGAAGUCCUAGUGUUUUAC
rnacentral:rRNA from 1 species